rnacentral:rRNA from 1 species
GACGAACGCUGGCGGCGUGCUUAACACAUGCAAGUCGAACGGAAAGGCCCUGCUUUUGUGGGGUGCUCGAGUGGCGAACGGGUGAGUAACACGUGAGUAACCUGCCCUUGACUUUGGGAUAACUUCAGGAAACUGGGGCUAAUACCGGAUAGGAGCUCCUGCUGCAUGGUGGGGGUUGGAAAGUUUCGGCGGUUGGGGAUGGACUCGCGGCUUAUCAGCUUGUUGGUGGGGUAGUGGCUUACCAAGGCUUUGACGGGUAGCCGGCCUGAGAGGGUGACCGGCCACAUUGGGACUGAGAUACGGCCCAGACUCUUACGGGAGGCAGCAGUGGGGAAUAUGGCACAAGGGGCGGAAGCCUGAUGCAGCAACGCCGCGUGCGGGAUGACGGCCUUCGGGUUGUAAACCGCUUUCGCCUGUGACGAAGCGUGGGUGACGGUAAUGGGUAAGAAGCACCGGCUAACUACGUG